rnacentral:rRNA from 1 species
UACGUAGGCAGCGAGCGUUGUUCGGAGUUACUGGGCGUAAAGGGUGUGUAGGCGGUUCUUUAAGUUUGGUGUGAAAUCUCCCGGCUCAACCGGGAGGGUGCGCCGAAUACUGAGGGACUUCGAGUGCGGGAGAGGAAAGUGGAAUUCCUGGUGUAGCGGUGAAAUGCGUAGAUAUCAGGAGGAACACCGGUGGUGUAGACGGCUUUCUGGACCGUAACUGACGCUGAGGAGCGAAAGCGUGGGGAGCGAACAGG